UGCCUAUUGCUGGGGUCCUAGUCAUGCCA
rnacentral:piRNA from 1 species